UGCCAGACUCCUACGGGAGGCAGCAGUGGGGAAUAUUGCACAAUGGGGGAAACCCUGAUGCAGCGACGCCGCGUGAGUGAAGAAGUAUUUCGGUAUGUAAAGCUCUAUCAGCAGGGAAGAAAAUGACGGUACCUGACUAAGAAGCCCCGGCUAACUACGUGCCAGCAGCCGCGGUAAUACGUAGGGGGCAAGCGUUAUCCGGAUUUACUGGGUGUAAAGGGAGCGUAGACGGCAGUGCAAGUCUGAAGUGAAAGCCCCGGGCUUAACCCGGGAAUUGCUUUGGAAACUGUACGGCUGGAGUGCUGGAGAGGUAAGCGGAAUUCCUAGUGUAGCGGUGAAAUGCGUAGAUAUUAGGAGGAACACCAGUGGCGAAGGCGGCUUACUGGACAGUAACUGACGUUGAGGCUCGAAAGCGUGGGGAGCAAACAGGAUUAGAUACCCCCGUAC
rnacentral:rRNA from 1 species